rnacentral:rRNA from 1 species
CCUACGGGUGGCAGCAGUGAGGAAUAUUGGUCAAUGGCCGAGAGGCUGAACCAGCCAAGUCGCGUGAGGGAAGACGGCCCUACGGGUUGUAAACCUCUUUUGUCGGGGAGCAAAGCGAGUCACGUGUGACUCAUUGAGAGUACCCGAAGAAAAAGCAUCGGCUAACUCCGUGCCAGCAGCCGCGGUAAGACGGAGGAUGCGAGCGUUAGCCGGAUUUAUUGGGGUUAAAGGGUGCGCAGGCGGCGGUGCAAGUCCGCGGUCCAAUUGCGGGGCUCAACCCCGGACUGCCGUUGCAACUGCAUCCCUUGAUUGCGCGAGCACUAUGCGGUAUGCGUGGUGUAGCGGU